ACUGAAGAUGAUCGUUCUGACUCUGUGACAAAGCACACAUCCAUGCUGGCUCAGUUUUCCACCUUGCAGGCGGACAGAAUGAUCAGGUAUUUGAGUGUUUUAAACAUUUUCUUUAGCGCUCUUUGUAGAAAGGCUUAAUGCCAUAUUGCCCAAGAGUCCAUCACAGUCCAUGGGGUACAGAACAGGGUGUGGGGGCUGGAAAUAACAGAAAUUGAACUGCUGGAGAGUCAGCGUUUUAAAGAGUGCUGUAAAAUUUGGGCGUGAUGCUUUUAAGCUUUGCAUUCACAUUUUGUUAUUCAUACUUGGUAUUGACUGGCAAACUGUAUUAACUUUCACCUUUUACAAUGUUUGAGGAUAAUAGCAAUGUUUCUUCCGAGGAGAGCAGUGAAAGGCUCUGACCUUGAAAAUCUGGUUGAUAGUUUAAAAUUACAUAUGUGGGUUAAUUCUUUCUGUGAUGAACAGUUGUGUGGUGCAAGAUCGUUGUUGAGGUGGGUAGUUUAGCUCAUACACUGAAUGGUAUCUACCGUGCUUAAGAGUGUGGUACGCUCUGGGACAGCAGUUUCAUUACCUAGAUAUUCUAUUGCAUCUAUUUUUUUUCUUGCCUUAGAACUAUGUACCGUGAAGAGCUUGAAAAGGGAUUUUAACACGUUUAGUGGUAGCAGGAGGUAUAUAGUGGAUGCUGGGUGAAAGUUUAAUUCAUUUACAGCUUCAUCAUUAUGUUAUAGAAUGAUGAAGAUUUUGUAUGACAGAAGUUGAAAUUGGUGUUUAACAUUCUCUUGGUCCACCUAAUGAGAUUUCCUUUUAAUUAGGGAAAAAAUACCUUUUGGAGCAUAAAAAUCUGAGGAACACGUUUUUCAAGCUGUGAGGGAGGGAGCAGUGGUUGAAAGAACUGCAAAUGUAGUUGGUUAUUAUCAGCUAAGGCACAAAUAUGGGAAAAUAUGUAGGGACCAAAGCAGAUGCAGACUUGUGCCAUUGUGUGUGAGCCUUGAGCCUUGCCUUGUGUGACGCUGGAGAAACAGAGCUGUUAACCUUAGCAGAGUGGUGACUGUCAGCCUCGCCCAGUGUGAGGUCUGGAGAUGAGCUACUCCUUCCCUGUGAUUGGCCUACUGCAUUAGCAUUUUGAACAUUUCUUUCUCUAUAUCGUUUUUCUUUUCUUCUCUUGACAGCGUAUGGACAGUGAACCCCAGCUAAGAAGAAAGAUUGUGGAAACAAGGUCUGUCAAAGAGAGGAAAAGCCUUCAGACGUAACCCAUGCAGUGUUAAGGUUAAUGGAUUGCCACCCAUCUGUUGUUAAACUGCUUAAAACAAUGAAUUUGUCAGACUUUGCUUGAGCGGUGGUUUUAAAAUUCUUGAGCUUAUGAUAUCACUGGGAGAGUGUGUGUGCUUCCACUCGGCACUUUGCUGGUUCUGCCCAGUGCUGCUUAGAUAUUGACGGCUCGAGGCUGGGGUUUGGAAUGCCCACCAGUGCUUCUGCUCCUUCUUCAGGACCUGAUGUCUGUCUGUGUAGCUGCUGGUGUUGAAGCUUCUUGUGAUGUCCAGGCUGGACUGGGAAAAGGCAGAGGAGGGGCUGGAGCUGUUAGGAGGGCUCUGGUGGUUUCAGAAAAAAGGUAAUAUUGUGAUGGAUGGAAGAAGAGAAUCGAUAAGAUGAGGUUGGUGUGAUGUGUUGCAGGUGGGCUCUGGAGGAAAGGAGAAGUGGGGGUUAAGGAGGGGAGAAUAAAGGAGUGCCCGGGCUGGACAAGAAAGAGCCUCAGAGGAGGUGGUAUGAUAUGCAAUGCUCUUCCUUCCUGUAUGUGCUUUGAGUAAUUUAAGGUCUCUUUAUAUGUAUCUUGUGUAUGUACAUUGUACAACCAUAUUCUGCUCUUGACGGUGUUUGGAUUUCCCCUCUCCCUGCUCCUGUGGCACCAUAUGUGAUGUACAAACAUCGUUACGCGAGCAAGCACUGAGUCUUGCCAGCAUGUGCAAGGGUUGCUCUAAAGUGUCAGAUUUCUUCACUGCAUUUUUUAUUUGAAUGGCAGUGUAAGAAUCCUAUGAGCCAGGAGCAGUUAAAAAUGAUGCAUCUCUUGAUCACCAUCUGUAUUUUUCUCCAGGUUUCAAAUGCCCACAAUUAAAGAAAUUGAGAGAGAACAUAUUUGGAACACAACCAGCAAAGUGCUCUGAAGGCAAAGCUUCUUCAGAGCUGUUUGGGUCAUGCUUCCAACUCACCGAGCCCAGCUGAGAUCAUGGCAAAGCCCACAGUCACUUCAGGACUGGCUGAAGAGCAGAAGUUAGUCAUGUCGAGUAGAACCAGUAUCUACAAAAGCAUGGAGAACUGUGUCCUUCCGCGCAAAAGGUAAGUGCAGGAGGAAGUACAACCGGCACCUUACACUGCUGU